CGUAGGUGCGAGCGUUAAUCGGAAUUACUGGGCGUAAAGCGAGCGCAGACGGUUACUUAAGCAGGAUAUGAAAUCCCGGGCUCAACCUGGGAACUGCGUUCUGAACUGGGUGACUAGAGUGUGUCAGAGGGAGGUAGAAUUCCACGUGUAGCAGUGAAAUGCGUAGAGAUGUGGAGGAAUACCGAUGGCGAAGGCAGCCUCCUGGGAUAACACUGACGUUCAUGCUCGAAAGCGUGGGUAGCAAAACAGGAUU
rnacentral:rRNA from 1 species